rnacentral:rRNA from 1 species
AGCGAACGCUGGCGGCAGGCUUAACACAUGCAAGUCGAGCGGGCAUCCUUGUGGUGUCAGCGGCAGACGGGUGAGUAACGCGUGGGAACGUGCCCUUCGGUUCGGAAUAACUCAGGGAAACUUGAGCUAAUACCGGAUACGUGCGAGAGCAGAAAGGUUUAUCUGCCGAAGGGUCGGCCCGCGUCUGAUUAGCUAGUUGGUGAGGUUAUGGCGCACCAAGGCGACGAUCAGUAGCUGGUCUGAGAGGAUGAUCAGCCACACUGGGACUGAGACACGGCCCAGACUCCUACGGGAGGCAGCAGUGGGGAAUAUUGGACAAUGGGGGCAACCCUGAUCCAGCCAUGCCGCGUGAGUGAUGACGGCCUUAGGGUUGUAAAGCUCUUUUCUUCGGGACGAUAAUGACGGUACCGGAGGAAUAAGCCCCGGCUAACUUCGUG